ensembl:lncRNA
GCAUACAUACAUCCCCUCCUUCUUGAGCCUCCUUCCCACCCACAGCCCCAUCCAACCUGUCUAGGUCAUCACGGAGCACGGAGCUGAGCUCCCUGUGCUGCACAGCAGCUUCCUGCUAGCUAACUGUUUUACACGUGGUCGUAUUACAUGCUGAUGUUGUUGUCUGAGAUUGUUACUACAUGCCAUGAGACGAGAGUACACUAAUGCUCACACUGGGCAUCUGUUUGAGCAUCAGUGUGCUCUGAGCACACUGAUUGUUAACUGAGCAAAUGGGAUCUUCUUAAGACUCAGUUUGGGUAAUGCAUACCUAGGGCGGCCACCCGAGUGCCAGGUACAGGGGACAAAGUGGUUAGUAAAAGCAGACCUAGGCUCGACCCUGUGCUCAUGAUGAUGACAGUCUAGUGGGGGAAACCAGCAUUAACCAAGUAAGCACAUGCUGGAAGUAAAAUGACAACAGGAGAAAGUGCGUGCAGGAGAGGACUGUGGUUCCACCUGGGGAUUUGCCCCUCUGUGUGACUGAAGGAGAAAUGAAGGAUGCAGGGCAUUAACCAAGCCAGAGGCCCUGAGCCGGGGGGGGGGCGGGCAUUUUCUAGAGGUGGGGAGAAACCAGUGUGGCCAGCGCUCUGCGGGGGAGGUCUUGUGGGGGUCUGAUGGAGAAGACAGGGGAGCCACUGAAAUUUCCCUUCCCCGUGACUUGGUGCAGCUAUCACCUGGGUGGGACUGGGGGGUGCCAUGUAGGAGGUCAGUGUCUGCAGAAGGCGAGCUCCCGUUCCUGACCCGGGUGCAGGAGGUCUCCGUGGACUGGGCGCACAGAGUAACAAGCACAUGCUGGCUGCCUGGGGGCAGUCCUGCAUUUCUUGCUGCCGUGUCUGAAGCCUUGACCUGUGGGGGCCAUCAGCUCUCCAUGCAGACAGAAGGACAUGGCUGCCUGCUGAGAAACUCGUGCUGGGGCCUCCAGCUGCUGACUUACUUCACAAUUUAGAUUCUUCUUGCUCCUGUUUGCUCUGGAAUAAAGAACUUGUUGAUUAUGUCUCCCUGGGGACUAAUAGUCUCCUGAAUUUCAUGUUACGUGGAGUGGGAAGCAGGACAGCAUCAGUUAGCAAAUAGCAAUGCCUUCUGUGUGAUCAAAAUGUACUCCGUAAAUAUUUACUGAGUGACGUUUGGGACACUGGAGGUAGAGGGGGUGAACAAGAUAGCCGGGACCCCUGCUCCUUCUCAGUUCUCCUUUGGUGGGAGAGAGGACGGAUUGGGGUGGGACAGACAAGGCUGGAGAGACUGAGGGCUAUGAGAGGUUCGGGGGUGAGUGCUGGCUAAGGUGAGACCCAGAGGAGGAUGUAUUAAGAGGGUGAGGUCAGGAAAAAGAGAACAGGAGAGGGGACACAGAUCUAGAGGAAGGAGACUGCGGCUCAGUCACCUUCCUGGAGCAGGACUGGCCAGGGCACUGAGAUUUCCACUUCUUCUGGCUCUCUGGAAGAUGCUUCCUCGGACUUUGGCAGGGGUCCUGAGCAGUUUUGGUCACAGUCAUCUAAUGCAAUUGUAUUUUCUUCUUCUGAGCACAUCAGGUCCCAGACACACGAAACCUGGCUGUGUUCCUCAACUACUGCCAGUAUGAGGGGAUGGCCACACUGCGAUGUCACAGGAAGUAAUCACUACAAACUCCUGGAGCACAUGUCCAUCUGAGAAGCCUUUGUGUGGAUGCCCUGAGCCCGGCACCAAAGAACUGAUAGAACUGCAGUCACAGGGACAGCUUUUUUCAUUUGAUGAGAGGGAUGGGGGUGGUGGGAAUAUAUCGGCUGCAGUGACCUUUCACGGUAGGCAGAGACGUGCUGGUGCUGAAACAAUUAUCUCAAGUGCCCGUGGGUACCAGCUUCCUGUUGAUAACAUGUGGUGCUAAUUACCUUGAAGCAUUCAGGGCAGAUGUUGGUGCUUGGAAUGAACAGGCCAGCAGAAGGGCCGCGCCUGGCUCAGGACCAGGGGUUCAAGUACUGCCCAUGUGGUCAGGAGAUUGCAGCAGUGCUGUGGAUCCUUGAUGACCACGAUUUUACUGAAAGAGAGUGAUGGUGGCAAGUCUGAUGAUAUUUCCCUUUACCCUAUGGGGCCACUGUUACUGGAAAGUCCCCUCCCCCACCAGGUCCAUGAAGAUGGGGACAGUACCUGUUUCGUUCAUCUCUACACCUUAGUUCCCGACGGAAGCCAAGCACACAGGGGAGCUCAGGGCUUCCCAGGUGGCUCAGUGAUAAAGAUCUGCCUGCCAAUACAGGAAAUGCAGGAGAUGCGGGUCUGAUCCCUCAGUCAGGAAGACCCCCUGGAGAAGAGAAUGGCCACCUCCUCCAGUAUUCUUGCCUGGAGAAUUCCAUGGACAGAGCUGCCUGGCGGGCUGUAGUCCAUAGAGUCACAAAGAGUCGAACACAACUGAGCAACAAAGCAUGCACACAUGUCUCCUUAAUAAACUUUCAUAAAAACUGCCAAACGUGAUGUUCAGAGGGCUUCUGGGUUGGUGAAUGCACUGAGGUACCAGGAGGUGGUACGCCUGGAGAGGGCAUGGAAGCUCUGUGCCCCUUGCCCCAUCCUUGCCCUAUGUACCUCUUCCAUUUGGCUGUUCCUGGAUUGAAUCCUUUAUAAU